AACGCACAUUGCGCCUCCCGUCACGGGGAGGCAUGCCUGUUUGAGCGUCGUUUAAACCCAUGAACCCGUUGCUGGGUGCGUGCUGGGCCUCGCCGUGGUGAGCGGCGUCGCCUUGAAGCCAUUGGUCUGAUGGACGGACGAGCUCCUGUAGGACUGACCGUUCGGGUGACCUUUAAGCGAAUCAUCUGAAUUCGACCUCAGAUCAGGUAGGACUACCGCCUGAACUUAA
rnacentral:misc_RNA from 1 species